CGGCCCGGCAAGUCGCUCCUGAAAUCCUCGGGCUCAACCCGGGGGCAGGGGGCGAUACUGCCGGGCUAGGGGGCGGGAGAGGCCGCCGGUACUCCGGGGGUAGGGGCGAAAUCCUAUAAUCCCCGGAGGACCACCAGUGGCGAAAGCGGGCGGCCAGAACGCGCCCGACGGUGAGGGGCGAAAGCCGGGGGAGCAAAGGGGGAUUAGAUACCCCUGUAGUCCCGGCUGUAAACGAUGCGGGCCAGCUGUCGGCCGGGCUUAGGGCCCGGCCGGUGGCGUAGGGAAACCGUUAAGCCCGCCGCCUGGGGGA
rnacentral:rRNA from 1 species